UGAGCCACCACGCCCGGCUGGUAACAAGUUUUAUGAAGAAAAAUCAGAAUGAAGAUGAUGGAGUAAAAUCGUUGUGGGGGAGGUACUAUUAAUAUAAGGUGGUCAGCAACGACCUCUCUAAUAGAUGAUGUUUGUGCUGAGCCCUGAAGGAAGCAAGCUAUAACCUUGGAAACAGUAGGUACAAAGGCCCUGAGGCAUGUGUACUGUGAAGCCAUCUAUAGACUUAAGAGGAUGUUCCCUAGGCUGAAUUAAUUCUUUUAGAAUAUUUUAUAUCUCCAAAAUCAAGGAUCAGUUAUAUUAAUAAAUACAUACACUUAUUAAGCUACCCAUUUAUAAGAAAUAUAAAAGGUACAUUUUCAUGAAAACAGGUUCAUUUUCUUCAGAUGAGGCUGGAAUUUAGGAUUGUACAGAGUCUACAGGCUGACUCCUGCAUUCACCUUUGGUCUUAUACAGUGAUACUCCUGAAAUCCUAAAAUGGUUAAGUUCUGUUUCUAUCAGUUGCCCCUCCUAGCACUCUGCCUCUAAGAACCAGAACAAACCUCUUUGCAUUUUCUGCGAGUCAUGCACUGUUUAGAGACUAAGGAGGCCUGAGCAGGAAGAAUCUGCCGGUUGAUAACUCUUAGCUCUGUUUUCAGAACAAACACACCCGUUUAAUGAAAACAGUGUGUGCACUGAGUGUUAUUUUAAGGGAAACAGCACAGAAAGGAGAGAUGGGAGAAAACCAAAAGAGAUCAAAAGGCUAUUAAACAACCUGGAAUUAAUAAUAUACUUUCUAAAAAAGUUUCAACCAGAGUAUCCUGUUUCUUUGCUGUCCACUUUCUAUUUAAAAAAUGGUCAUGACAGAGAAGCAUGAUGAAGUAGACUACAAGUGUACUGAGGCAGAAGGCAGAGCCUAAGUUUUAUUUACUUUUGGAUCUUUGGGGCGAAGCACAUGGCCUGCCCACAAAAAAAACACAAGAAGAUGAGGUGAAAAAUUCCUAGGCCCUGCCAUGCAGCCACAGAAAAUGGGAACCUGCCUGACUGUGGACAUCAAAUGAAUUUCGAGGCCCAGAACCUGGAUAGCAUGGUUCACUGAGUCUAAGAAUGAUCACCUUAUAUGGUAAUAUAAGUUGUUUCUGAGCUGAUAUAACUGGGAAUAUAGAAGGCAGGGAGCCUGUCAUUCUCUGCCUCUUUGACCUAGUAGAUACCUUGCUGUGCAGAAUUGGCAAGAAUGCAAACUUUAUGAGUAUUCUGGGACAUACAAGGGAGGCAGUGGGAAGCCACAUUUAUCCUCCUGCAUCUCUAUCUUGUUUAUAUUCUUUGCUCUGCUUCUUAGUUCAUCCAAAACUAAACCAAAGUAAAAUCAACUUGAGUGAAAUCCAGGUCUUUAUUGUCUCCAUUCCUCAAACCCAGGCCAGAUUCCAUGGUCUGAUUUUCAGCUUACAUUCUAUUGUCCAGCUCUGUUUUUACAGUAAACACAUACAUUUAAUAAAAGGUGA